UUCAGGACCAGCAGCGACUGCCGUAGUAAAUGAACAGUGGAACAAUUGCAGGCCCACUCCAAGAGACCCAGAUCUCGAGCUUACUGUCGUCUGCAGAACAACAGACUUGCCAGUACUGACCAGAUCUACAUAUCAGCAGUAUGAGCGUACUGUGGUCUUAAGGGAACCAAAUCACACAUUGGUUCCAUCAGGAGGUCGACUUUCUGCGAACGAAUAUGUUGUCAGAAUUGGAGAGAUUCUUUUGAAAUUCAACCAAUGAUAUAGACACUUAAACCUUGGAUUUUGGCAUAUAAGUGUUAUUUCAGGGGAAAAAAUGUAUAAUUUAGUUUGUGAGAUUAUGAAGACAAAUAUGUGGCUACAUGAAAAGUAUGUUUCACUGAUAUUUUGAAAUGUUUAAUUUUUACUUUAUUGAAUUGAUAAAUUAUGUAAAACUUCAUACAAAAUAUCUCUAUAUGAAGUGGUAAUAAGUGUUAACUGAGUCAGAUUUUGAUUGAGUUUCUAUGGCUCUAUGGCUGUGUUUGGGUGCUCUGCGUUUCCGGGAAAUCUACCCUUACCUUUUAUCUUUCAUAAACUAAGCAGUUAAGAUACAUCUGAAUGCAGAAUAUUAUUUUAAAUCUCCAGGACAGGAUAAACCUGAUAACAUGAUACGGUAGUAAUAUAGUGUGCUUACCGAAUUGAAAAAGGUAAGCAUCAUGAUAAUUGAUAAUAUGUUUGUAAAAUUCAAUCAUUUUCGUCUAAAUGAAAAUACCUUUCAUGAAAAGUCAUCGGUUUUCUAUUGUAAAUUUACCUCUUAAUUAAGUUUAAAUCCGUGUGUUUAAUUUUUCAGAAGCCAGUAUUUAUUAUAAUUCUAGUUUACAAAUUUACAUCCCCAUAACUAGCGCUUUAAGAGUUUUUCUAUGAAUUCUCGACAUAUUUUAAUUAACAGCCUUUUACCUCUUCAUAAAAACAUCUAUGUCUGUCUUUCAAAGAAAUGGAAGCAAAUGCAAUCAUGCACAAUCAGCUCUACUGUGUAGUUCGUUGUUGUUGUUUUACUCCUUGUCUUUUAUUGUUUAGAUUUACGGUAAGGUAGUUCUACACUUAGAUCAAAUAUUUUAUACAAUGUAGAUAUGACUUUCAAAACAUGUUUAUAUUCAGAAAAUUCAGCAAAUAAUAAAACUUGAUUUUUGCUACGUUGAUUUGAAAAAGUUGGACAUAUAAAAUGAUCAUAUAAAUUUUGAUAUAAUGAGGGUCUAUGCUAAAAUCAUAAUAGAUAUAUGACACUUAGUAGAUGAAGCUUUAAUACGUUUCAUUCUUAUUGUCAAAGGUUGUUAAAUCAAAAAUAAAAGUAAUUUACCUCGUUGUCUCCAAUUAGUCGAUGGUUUGUGAUUGCCUAAAUAUAUUUUUUUCCUUUUUGACUACAGUGCAUUCGCGAUGCUACGAAUCGCAAUUUAACGAAAUAUCGUUAUACUUAGAAAAGGUGUUGUGGUCCCGGCUGCUUUCCUUCUUAUUUCUAUGUUACAAAGUCGCGGUUUUACGAAAAUGCAAUUUUACGAAAAAUGCGCUCCUACGAAUGUAUUUUUAUGCCCUUAAAGCCUGUUUUCAAUUUGUUUUAGUUGCGAUUUUACGAAUACAUGUAUCGUCUAAGUUUUUACACCUUCCAUAAUGGCGUGAAAAACACUUUACAGUGGAAAGUGUCACGAUCAAUUAGCUUGGCGUAAACAGUAAUUAAAGUGUGAAAACUUAGUAAUUUAGAAUUCGAAACACAUACACUGUGUUAGUGGUUAUUUUUUUCUUCUCUAACUAUCAGAUCGGAUGGCAUAUCAGUCACACUUGUUUCGAUAUCUAUACGUCUAAAACAAUCACUAGAUAAAACAGAUAAAAAUAUUUAAGUCCUUACAUUGAAUAAAAAGUGAAGAAAAACAACCCAUUUUACAUUUCAGAUUCGAAUAAGAUUUGUAGUAGACCCAGAUGUACAUAUAAAAUUUGUAUACAUGUACAUAUACUCCGAUACGAAAAUAACAUGUUUAAAUAUCACGGGUUACAACGUGUAGAUAUCAAGGUGCUGUGUAGCGAAAUUUCAUAUGCUGCGCUCGAACGAAAAUGCGAUAUUACGAAAAAAAACGGCCGGUCCCUUGGCUUUUCGUAGGAUCGCGAUUGUACUGUAUAUGAUAUUGACUUGAAUGUUACUGCAAUUUUGACUAUAUAUAUUUGCAUCUAUGACUGUAUUUUUGACAUCUAUCAGAUUGCAGUUUGACUGUAUAAUAUUGCAUCUUUGACUGUUUGUUAUUGACUGGCAUGUUAUUGCAUUUUUGACUGUAUACUGUUGCAUCUUGGACCGUAUUAUUGCAUCUUUGACUGUAUUAUUGCCUCUUUGAAUGUAUCUUUUACUUUUAUGUUAUUGCAUCUUUGACUGUAUACUAUUCCAUAUUUGACUGUUUGUUAUUGACUGGUAUGUUAUUGCAUUUUUGACUAUAUAGUAUAAUUGCAUUUUUGGCGGUAUUAUUGACUUCUAUGUUAUUGCAGUUUUGACUGUAUAUUAUUGUAUCUUUGACUUCAUGUUAUCGACUGUGUGUUAUUGGCUGAUAUGCUAUUGCAUUUAUGUCUGUGUUAUUGAUUUAUAUAUUAUUUUUUGACUGUAUUUUAUUGCAUCUUUGAUGGUGUUAUUGACUAGUAUGAUUUUACAUUUUUGACUGUAUUAUUUCAUCUUUGUCUGUGUUAUUGACUGGUAUGUUAUUACGUUUUGAUUAUAUAUUAUUGCAUCUUUGACUGUGUUGCAUUUUGACUUUAUUUUAUUGCAACUUUGUCUGUGUUAUUGACUGGUAUGUUAUUGCAUUUUGACUAUAUAUUAAUACAGCUUUUGCUGUGUUAUUGACUGGCAUGAUAUUGCAUUUUUGACUGUAUGUUGUUGCAUCUUUGUCUGUCUUAUUGACUGGUAUGGUAUUGCAUUUUUGACUGAAUAUUAUUGCAUCUUUUACUGUGUAAUUGACGGGUAUGUUUUUGCAUUUUUGACUGUAUAUUAUUGCAUCUUUGACUUUGUUAUUGACUGGUAUGAUUUUGCAUUUUUGACUGUAUAUUAUUGAAUCUUUUACUGUGUUAUAGACUGCUAUGAAUUUGCAUUUUUGACUGUAUGUUAAUGCAUCUUUGACUGUGUUAUUGACUGGUAUGUUAUUGCAUUUUUGACUGAAUAUUAUUGCAUCUUUGACUGUGUUAUUAACUGGUAUGUUAUUACGUUUUGACUAUAUAUUAUUACAUUUUUGACUGUGUUGCAUUUUGGCUUUAUAUUAUUGCAACUUUUACUGUGUUAUUGACUGGCAUGAUUUUGCAUUUUUGACUGGUAUGUUAUUGCAUCUUUGACUUUGUUCUUGACUGGUAUGUUAUAGCAUUUUGACUGUAUAUUUUUGCAUUUUUUACUGUGUCAUUGACAGGUAUGAUUUUGCAUUUUUACUGUAUAUUAAUGCAGUUUUUACUGUGUUAUUGACUGGCAUGAUAUUGCAUUUUUGACUGUAUGUUGUUGCAUCUUUGACUUUGUUAUUGACCUAUAUGUUAUAGCAUUUUGACUGUAUAUUAUUUCAUUUUUGACUGUGUCAUUGACAGGUAUGAUUUUGCAGUUUGACUGUUUAUUGUUGCGUCUUUCGUUGUGUUAUUGACUGGUAUGUUAUUGCAUUUUUGACUGAAUAUUAUUGCAUCUUUGACUGUGUUAUUAACUGGUAUGUUAUUACGUUUUGACUAUAUAUUAUUACAUUUUUGACUGUGUUGCAUUUUGGCUUUAUAUUAUUGCAACUUUUACUGUGUUAUUGACUGGCAUGAUUUUGCAUUUUUGACUGGUAUGUUAUUGCAUCUUUGACUUUGUUCUUGACUGGUAUGUUAUAGCAUUUUGACUGUAUAUUUUUGCAUUUUUUACUGUGUCAUUGACAGGUAUGAUUUUGCAUUUUUACUGUAUAUUAAUGCAGUUUUUACUGUGUUAUUGACUGGCAUGAUAUUGCAUUUUUGACUGUAUGUUGUUGCAUCUUUGACUUUGUUAUUGACCUAUAUGUUAUAGCAUUUUGACUAUAUUAUUUCAUUUUUGACUGUGUCAUUGACAGGUAUGAUUUUGCAGUUUGACUGUUUAUUGUUGCGUCUUUCGUUGUGUUAUUGACUGGUAUGUUAUUGCAUUUUUGACUGAAUAUUAUUGCAUCUUUGACUUUGUUAUUGACUGGUAUGUUAUAGCAUUUUGACUGUAUAUUAUUGUAUUUUUGACUGUGUCAUUGACAGGUAUGAUUUUGCAUUUUUGACUGUAUAUUGUUGCAUUUUUUACUGUUUUAUUGACUGCUAUAAUUUUGCAUUUUUAACUGUAUGUUAUUGCAUUUUUGACUGUGUUAUUGACUAGUAUGUUAUUGCAUUUCUGACAGAAUAUUAUUGCAUCUUUGACUUUGUUAUUGACUGGUAUGUUAUAGCAUUUUGACUGUAUAUUAUUGCAUUUUUGACUGUGUCAUUGAGAGGUAUGAUUUUGCAUUUUUGACUGUAUAUUGUUGCAUUUUUGACGGUGUCAUUGACAGGUAUGAUUUUGCAUUUUUGACUGUAUAUUAUUGCAUUUUUGACUGUGUCAUUGACAGGUAUGAUUUUGCAUUUUUGACUGUAUAUUAUUGCAUUUUUGACUGUGUCAUUGACUGCUAUGAUUGUGCAUUUUUGACUGUAUGAUAUUACAUCUUUGACUGAUUUAUAUGUAUGUGCUUCACAGUAUUUAUAUUGGUCAAAAUGUCCAUCCAAAUAAAUUGGUAUAAUAUUCAA